rnacentral:rRNA from 1 species
AUAUCAAUAAGCGGAGGAAAAGAAACUAACAAGGAUUCCCCUAGUAACUGCGAGUGAAGCGGGAAAAGCUCAAAUUUAAAAUCUGAGGGUCUUUAUGGCCUUCCGAGUUGUAAUCUAGAGAAGUGCUAUCCGCGCUGGACCGUGUACAAGUCUCCUGGAACGGAGCGUCAUAGAGGGUGAGAAUCCCGUCUUUGACACGGACUACCAGGGCUUAUGUGAUACGCUCUCAAAGAGUCGAGUUGUUUGGGAAUGCAGCUCUAAAUGGGUGGUAAAUUCCAUCUAAAGCUAAUAUUGGCGAGAGACCGAUAGCGAACAAGUACGUGAGGGAAAGAUGAAAGACUUUUGGAAAGAGAGUUAAAAAGUACGUGAAUUGUGAAAAAGGNAAACGCUUGAAGUCAGUCGCAUUGGCCAGGGAUCACCUUUGCUUUUGCUUGGUGUAUUUUCUGGCUAAUGGGUCAGCAUCAAUUUUGAUCGGUGGAAAAAGAUCAAGGGAAUGUGGCAUCUUCGGAUGUGUUAUAGCCCUUGGUUGUAUACAUCGAUUGGGAUUGAGGAGCUCAGCACGCCGCAAGGCCGGGUUUUUAACCACGUACGUGUUUAGGAUGCUGGCAUAAUGGCUUUAAUCGA